rnacentral:rRNA from 2 species
UGGGGAAUAUUGGACAAUGGGGGCAACCCUGAUCCAGCCAUGCCGCGUGAGUGAUGACGGCCUUAGGGUUGUAAAGCUCUUUUCUCCGGGACGAUAAUGACGGUACCGGAGGAAUAAGCCCCGGCUCACUUCGUGCCAGCAGCCGCGGUAAUACGAAGGGGGCUAGCGUUGCUCGGAAUCACUGGGCGUAAAGGGCGCGUAGGCGGCUGAUUUAGUCGAGGGUGAAAGCCCGUGGCUCAACCACGGAAUGGCCUUCGAUACUGAUUGGCUUGAGACCGGAAGAGGACAGCGGAACUGCGAGUGUAGAGGUGAAAUUCGUAGAUAUGCGCAAGAACACCAGUGGCGAAGGCGGCUGUCUGGUCCGGUUCUGACGCUGAGGCGCGAAAGCGUGGGGAGCAAACAGG